rnacentral:rRNA from 1 species
UACGAAGGGGGCUAGCGUUGCUCGGAAUCACUGGGCGUAAAGGGUGCGUAGGCGGGUCUUUAAGGCAGGGGUGAAAUCCUGGAGCUCAACUCCAGAACUGCCUUUGAUACUGAAGAUCUUGAGUACGGGAGAGGUGAGUGGAACUCCGAGUGUAGAGGUGAAAUUCGUAGAUAUUCGGAAGAACACCAGUGGCGAAGGCGACUCACUGGCCCGUUACUGACGCUGAGGCGCGAAAGCGUGGGGAGCAAACAGG